GAUGAACGCUGGCGGCGUGCCUAAUACAUGCAAGUCGAGCGAACGGACGAUAAGCUUGCUUUUCUGAUGUUAGCGGCGGACGUGUGAGUAACACGUGUAUAACCUACCUAUAAGACUGGUAUAACUUCGGGAAACCGGAGCUAAUACCGUAUAAUAUUUUGAACCGCAUGGUUCAAAAGUGAAAUACGGUCUUUCUGUCUCUUAUAGAUGGAUCCCCGCUUCAUUUGCUAGUUGGUAAGGUAACGGCUUACCAAGGCAACGAUGCAUAGCCGACCUGAGAGGGUGAUAGGCCACACGGGAACUGAGACACGGUCCAGACUCCUACGGGAGGCAGCAGUAGGGAAUCUUCCGCAAAGGGCGAAAGCCUGACGGAGCAAGGCCGCGUGAGUGAUGAAGGUCUUCGGAUCGUAAAACUCUGUUAUUAGGGAAGAACAGAUGUGUAAGUAGCUGUACACAUCUUGACGGUACCUAAUAAGAAAGCCACGGCUAACUACGUG
rnacentral:rRNA from 1 species